UAGGGAAUUGUUCGCAAUGGGCGCAAGCCUGACGACGCAACGCCGCGUGGAGGAUGAAGGUCUUCGGAUUGUAAACUCCUGUCGUGUGGGACGAACAUCUGCCGGGCUAAUCACCGGUGGACUGCUGGUACCACGAAAGGAAGCCCCGGCUAACUCUGUGCCAGCAGCCGCGGUAAUGCAGAGGGGGCGAGCGUUGUUCGGCAUUACUGGGCGUAAAGGGCGCGUAGGCGGCUUGCUAAGUCAGACGUGAAAUCCCAUGGCUCAACCAUGGAACUGCGUCUGAUACUGGCGAGCUUGAAUCCGGGGGAGGGAUGCGGAAUUCCAGGUGUAGCGGUGAAAUGCGUAGAUAUCUGGAGGAACACCGGUGGCGAAGGCGGCAUCCUGGACCGGCAUUGACGCUGAGGGCGCGAAAGCCAGGGGAGCAAAC
rnacentral:rRNA from 1 species